rnacentral:rRNA from 1 species
GGUGAAAAGCACCCCGGAAGGGGAGUGAAAUAGAACCUGAAACCGUGUGCUUACAAGUAGUCAGAGCCCGUUAAUGGGUGAUGGCGUGCCUUUUGUAGAAUGAACCGGCGAGUUACGAUUUGAUGCAAGGUUAAGCAGUAAAUGUGGAGCCGUAGCGAAAGCGAGUCUGAAUAGGGCGUUUAGUAUUUGGUCGUAGACCCGAAACCAGGUGAUCUACCCUUGGUCAGGUUGAAGUUCAGGUAACACUGAAUGGAGGACCGAACCGACUUACGUUGAAAAGUGAGCGGAUGAACUGAGGGUAGCGGAGAAAUUCCAAUCGAACCUGGAGAUAGCUGGUUCUCUCCGAAAUAGCUUUAGGGCUAGCCUCAAGUGAUGAUUAUUGGAGGUAGAGCACUGUUUGG